rnacentral:rRNA from 1 species
GAUGAACGCUGGCGGCGUGCCUAAUACAUGCAAGUCGAACGAGGUGCUUUUGUAGCAAUACGAAAGUAUCCUAGUGGCGAACGGGUGAGUAACGCGUUGGUGACCUACCCCAAAGUGUGGGAUAACAGUUCGAAAGAACUGCUAAUACCGCAUGUGGUUAUCGGAUUUAGAAACUGAUAACUAAAGGAGCAAUUCGCUUUGGGAGGGACCUGCGUCCCAUCAGCUAGUUGGUGAGGUAAUGGCUCACCAAGGCUACGACGGGUAGGGGACCUGAGAGGGUGACCCCCCACAAUGGAACGUGAAACAACGGUCCGAUACA